GCGAUCUCUAUUGGGUACUGGGAUGGCUCUAUGCUGGGGAAUGGCCAAGAGUUUGGACACCGGGGUCGGAGAGCUCUGGGUUCAUGCCCAGAGUUUCAUUCUUAUAACUGAGAGAGCUCAGGAUCCUUGACUCGGUGCAAAAAUAAUAAAUACAGGCCAACACAGAAGACGGGAGGAGGCUAAACGGGAACAGCGGGUCCAGGCAGGACUGUCGUCAGAUGAAGUGCCUCAGCCGCCUUGGCAACGGGAGCGAGUAAAUCGACCAUGCUUUUAUUUUUGGAUGCUUUUACAUCAUGGGUAUCGAAGUCACAAGUGUCACAUGAUGGAAGGACCUUUGAGUCACCCCUUCAGUGGAGGACUGAUCAAUCUAGAACAUUCAUGCUGCGCUUUGAGUUCUCGGGGUGCAGGCAAACGGAAACCCAGAUCUCUGCUCGGAGAUCAAACACACCCUGGACAUGCCUGAAAGGGGUCAGAAAAAUUAAAUGAGAUAAAUGAGCAGAGAGGACUGAGUGAAUGUCUUUGAUUUGUGCAAGAGAGCCAUAAAAAUAAAAUCUCUGGGGCCAUUUCAUCUUACAUCAGAAACCAAGCUUGCCUCCCACUACACAGGGUCAGCAUGGAGUCUCUCUCAAAUGUUCAAGAAAGGGGGCUGAAGGCCCGGGCACAUGAAAGCAGAUUUGACUGAACCUGUGAUGAAUGGCUUUCAGAACAUUGGAUCCUGGUGCUAUGAGCGUGCCUAACAAAGCCUUUUCCCUCGCGUGUCCCAGCUGUAGGACAAUAGCCCCAACUGGAGCUGUUACAUUGGGGGUGCCUUGCACGGAAAACAAAUGAGUUUGGAGAGAACACUCUGAGAUGGACUGACUUCUGUUGGCACCACAUUUCAGAAAAGCCCAAGGCUUUUUAUUCCCCCUCCUUUUCUCCUUGGGCUAGCUGGCCCAUAUGGGUGACACCGAUGACAACGACGAAUUCCACAUUUGUAUCCAUAGCCCAUGCUCUCCUCUGCAUGUCCCCAAAGUCUGCUCCACAUCACCACUUGAAUAUCUCACUGACCUCCUGUUUGUCCUCUGAGUUGCUUCUGGUGAA